CCAGACUCCUACGGGAGGCAGCAGUGAGGAAUAUUGGUCAAUGGGAGAGAUCCUGAACCAGCCAAGCCGCGUGAGGGAAGACGGCCCUAUGGGUUGUAAACCUCUUUUGUCGGAGAACAAAACCCGGGACGUGUCCCGAACUGCGUGUAUCCGAAGAAAAAGCAUCGGCUAACUCCGUGCCAGCAGCCGCGGUAAUACGGAGGAUGCGAGCGUUAUCCGGAUUUAUUGGGUUUAAAGGGUGCGUAGGCGGACGCUUAAGUCAGCGGUAAAAUUGCGGGGCUCAACCUCGUCGAGCCGUUGAAACUGGGUGCCUUGAGUGGGCGAGAAGUACGCGGAAUGCGUGGUGUAGCGGUGAAAUGCAUAGAUAUCACGCAGAACUCCGAUUGCGAAGGCAGCAUACCGGCGCCCAACUGACGCUGAAGCACGAAAGCGUGGGUAUCGAACAGGAUUAGAUACCCUGGUAA
rnacentral:rRNA from 1 species